CUUUGACCAGCAGUAGCUAAAAUUAAAGCUCACUGCCUGUGUAUUUAUGGUUGAUAUUGUCCAACUUGCUUCCUAUCCUUUCAAUGGCAUAAUACUUCUCAUUUAUUGGUACUUGCCAGUAUAAUAGUUCUCAAAGAGUCUUUUGCAGCUGUUCAAAGUCAUCUUACUUUGGACCAUUCUGAACAAUUCCUUAUCUGAACUAAUAACUUUAAAAUUAUGUUUUAUGAAUAGUUUCUGCAUGUUGUGAAAAUGAAAAGAUGGUUGUAAAUGAGCAUAUGAAAAUGUUCAGUUGUGUAACAGUCUUUUCUCUUGAGCGGUACGUUUGUUUCAUUACUGGUUUAGAACUAAACAAUAAUUCCUAACUUGCCAAAUAAGAAAUAGUCUUUACCUUUCUUCCAAUUUGGAUCCCAGGACUAUCUGCUUCCACAAUGAAUCCAGUAAAGGCUUUGCUUGCAGGAGUUUUUGGAUCUGGAUCAGUACGUGCUAGCAAAAAAUACCUAGUGUAAACCAAAGAAGAUGGAUGCAGUUUAUCCUCACAGUUAACAACCAGAUAUAUUUAGACAUCCCAAACAGCACAAGACCCAGCAAGGCUGCACUACUAAUCUUUCCAAUAUGAAACCUGAUGAUUUUUAAAACUUAUUUUGGAAAUUCAAGUAUUCUUUAUCAACCAGGGAUCCCUUGUUCACACACUUAUUAGCUACUUCAGAGAACUCCAAUGAUUUUUGAGACAUGACUUCCUUUAAUUAAAACCCUUCUUUAGCA